UUCAGAAACAUAGAUUAAAUAUUUAUUAUAGGUACAAGAGAGUUAUUAGAAGUUUUUAGAGACACAUUAGAAGUUUUUUAGAGAGAUUACAUUUUUAUUAUAGGUACAUUAUUUUAGAGUUAGUAAGACAUAUAUAAAUAAAUCAAAAGAAGACUGGAAUAGGAAUUAUUAAUAGAGUAAAGGAUACAUUUUUUUUACUUAUUCGAGUAAUAUUAGCUUAGCUUAGGACUUUUAGGUAGAUACGAGAUUUUGAGUUAGGUAUUCCCCCGCUUAUAUGAGAUGCCUAUAGGCACUAAAAGACUAUUUAAAAGUAAGGAUCAAUUUCAUUCACUGUGGACACUGUUUUGAUGAAGUGAAUUAGUGAACGAGAAAAAAAAAGGGACGAAAAGACACGACGUGAAAGUACGUGAACUAGUGAUAUGUUAUAAAAUACCAGUUUAGUAUUAGAAAAAACCGGUUUAAAAUAGGAAAAAGAAUAUACAUGUUUAGGGAAAAUUGAUUGAUCUGAAAUGUACCAUGUUACAGUUAGUUAGGAUAGUUAGGAAAUUUAAUUUUUGAAAAUAGUAUUAGGUAACCAUAAACAUUUUUGUAAAAGGGAAAGAGGAGCAUCACAUUUUAAAAAUAUGUAAUUUUAACAAAACGGGGAGGUGUGGUAUUAUAAUAUCACCCUGUACAAAAUAUGUUUAAAACUCAUUCAAAGUCAUUAAUCCAUGUAGUAUCUGUUCUUGUAUCAAUAACCGCAAGUAACAUUGAAUUGUCAUGUUUUGUUAUUAUUUAAAUGUGUAUAUAAACAUUAACUCGGUGGAGAAAGAUUAUUGUACUCAGUAUUUAAUUAAUGUAAGGUAGGUCGCUACUGAUAUAUGUAAACAGAUUGUUAUGGUUAGUCAUUGAUGGAGUUGAGUGUAAAUAAUAUAAUGUAUUUGAACUAA
rnacentral:lncRNA from 1 species